AUGAAUUAGUUAUUUUAAUAUCUGAAAAAAUUUUAGGAUAAACUUCAAAUACCGCCUCUGCGGUUUCACACUUUUUCACUUUAGUGUUCUAUGGUUUAAUUAAAGUGUAUCAAUUUACUACCCUAUGGUUUCAUUUUUCUCUUUUCGCCAGCUCCUUCUCUAAUAUUUAGUUAAAUUAUAUACAAAAAAUUUCAUAUACCCCACCUAAGUUUAUCGAAUAUUCACUUUAAUACCUUUUAGUUUUAACUUUGUUACUGAUUUAAUGAAAAAAAUAUUAGUUGAGGAGAUAACAAGAAAAAAAAAAUGAAAUCAUGGGGUAUGAAAGUUAUACACUUUAAAUCAUAGAAUACUAAAAUAAAAAAGUAUAAAACCAUAGUGGUGGUAUUUGAAAUUUUUUUCAAAUUUUAUGAUUACCUAUUCUUUUGUUUAUAUUUUAAACUGCACGUGCAUGAAUCAGUCAAAAUGCUCGAUACGAAAUUAUUUAUGUGCGACGCCCCACUUCCUAGAUAGGGGGGUCAUCCAUCUGCAACUAAUGUAAUUUUUACACGAUUAAUUGUCUUAACUACUUGGGCUUAACCACCGUCCAAAAUAUUACAACUCAGUCAAAAUAUUUAGUCCUAUUAUAUCUUACAUUUAGGACCAAUCCAAAUCCUGAAACGUCAUAUUUGUUGCUCCUUUAACUCUGACGUUCUCGUCAGGUUCAAAUACACUCAAAGCAUCGGGCGAUGUGAGACUGAUCUCCCUAGCCUUAGUAGACCUUAUGGGGAGCCAUGUUUUGCCGUUUUUACGAUCCUAUCUCAGCCGAAACUCAUCUCACACUCUUAAUUGUUGAUUGGUAUGGCUCCAUUGUAUAGCUAGCUCUACCCGCUAUAUGACUCUAACUCAGUUGAAACUAUCCGCUAUAUGAUUCUAACUGAGUCGAAACUUAUCUCAUACUCUCGAUUAAUGAUUGAUUCUGAUACCAACUAUGACACCCAUCUUAAAUUACUCUAAUCUGAAUACGCUUAAUCAUUAUAUACAUAUGGUUAUUCUAAAACCUGAUCGAGGCGUCAUAUUAUGUCAAUACAUCAACAGCCUACAACAUGAAUAUUUUGAAGAGCUCCCU
rnacentral:lncRNA from 1 species